AUUGAACGCUGGCGGCAGGCUUAACACAUGCAAGUCGAGCGGGGUGAUGGUGCUUGCACUAUCACUUAGCGGCGGACGGGUGUGUAAUGCUUAGGAAUCUGCCUAUUAGUGGGGGACAACAUCUCGAAAGGGAUGCUAAUACCGCAUACGUCCUACGGGAGAAAGCAGGGGAUCACUUGUGACCUUGCGCUAAUAGACGAGCCUAAGUCGGAUUAGCUAGUUGGUGGGGUAAAGGCCUACCAAGGCGACGAUCUGUAGCGGGUCUGAGAGGAUGAUCCGCCACACUGGGACUGAGACACGGCCCAGACUCCUACGGGAGGCAGCAGUGGGGAAUAUUGGACAAUGGGGGGAACCCUGAUCCAGCCAUGCCGCGUGUGUGAAGAAGGCCUUAUGGUUGUAAAGCACUUUAAGCGAGGAGGAGGCUCUUUUGGUUAAUACCCAAGAUGAGUGGACGUUACUCGCAGAAUAAGCACCGGCUAACUCUGUGCCAGCCGCCGCGGUAA
rnacentral:rRNA from 1 species